GAUGAACGCUGGCGGCGUGCCUCAAACAUGCAAGUCGAGCGAGGCUAUGAGUUACCGCAAGGUAAGGCAUAGCCUAGCGGCGAACGGGUGAGUAACACGUGGGUAACCUACCUGGAAGACAGGGAUAACGAUUCGAAAGGGUCGCUAAUACCUGAUAAUAUCCAAUCUGCCGGAUGGCGGAGGGAAGAAAGGGGAAACCCGCUUUCAGAUGGGCCCGCGUCCCAUCAGCUAGUUGGUAAGGUAAAGGCUUACCAAGGCGACGACGGGUAGCCGGUCUGAGAGGAUGUACGGCCACACUGGGACUGAGAUACGGCCCAGACUCCUACGGGAGGCAGCAGUUGGGAAUCUUAGGCAAUGGACGAAAGUCUGACCUAGCGACGCCGCGUGAGGGAAGAAGGCCUUCGGGUUGUAAACCUCUGUCAUGGGGAAGAAGGAAGUGACGGUACCCAACGAGGAAGCCCUGCUAACUACGUGCCAGCAGCCGCGGUAACACGAGAGUA
rnacentral:rRNA from 1 species